rnacentral:lncRNA from 1 species
GAUUUCUGGAAGAACUCUACAACUCAAAGCAAAUGAGUUAUAAAGUACGUAUAUGGUUUAUUUCAGCGCUGGGCACAUGGCAGGAUAGCUCCCAAAGGCAUGUGCGCCCCAACAUGGCAACUUGCCUUGGUUCUAUGCAGUAAAGAGUUACAUAUGCAUGAAGUUUCCCAAUAUGCCUAUGCAUACGCAUAACCUAUCCCUGCUUUGUAUUAAAAUUAGCUGCAAGUCAGUUCCAUAAACUCCUGUCUGUGCUUGCGCAGUGCCUUCUGGUGGUGGUUGUCAGGGGGGUUGUGUGGAUGAAAGCUGAUAACUUCUUCAUCACCAGUUGCUGACUCAGCUGCUCCUUGGUUCUUGUCCAAAUCACAAAGUUGGUCUCAGCUGGUUUUAUGAGACAGGUUCCCCAUUUUUGUCAGGAAACUGUCCUCUGUCAGGGGCUUCGACACUCCUUGUUUCGGUUAAUUUGUACAGUAGUAAGCUAAGACACCCAACAUCUAUUUUAAUGCGGUUAAGCAAGCCCCCAUUCUUACAUUCCUGGCUUUAAUAAUGAUUGUUUUAUUUAGAAAUCGUUAAUGUGAUUAAACAAGCCCCCAUUGUUCUAUCCCUGGCUUCAGUGGCACCCUCUGGGUCAGGCUGAUCACCACACAACACAGCUCAGGCGGCUUCUCUGUGCCAAGAUGGCUGUCAGUCACACCCCAAAGCUGGUGUGGUGAAACUGAAAAGAAACCACUCUCUUCAGGUUCCUUCCUAAAAGCGAAAUGUUUAUUAAUUCUCUAAGUUUGCAAAAGAAGACCACAUCCAUCUGAAGCUUGCUUAUGUGGAAGCAGAGCUGGCCAGGCCAAGACAGCUUGAGAGGAGCUUCCCAUGGCCUCAGGGGUGAUGAGCACUGCUUGUUGCAGCUGAGGAGGCUGCAUCAGCAACACCAACCUGGGAAGUGGGGACCUGCCUGGAGCGAUGCGGUGAGGCAUUCUGAAAGGAGCAUUAAUCUUGCCUGGAAGGGCCGACCUGCUGGCAGCCGAUUCAUCAGCAACACUCCCUGGAAGCUGCUGGCCCACACUUUCUGUCAGUGGUGGGUGGCAAGAUUCAGAAAUGUUAAGAGAAGAAUACCUACAGUCUUCAAAUCUGAGCUCCUCUGUAUGCGGACCAUGGGCAGAUGUAACUAAUGCAAGAUCUAUUCUGGAAAAGGGCACAAUAAAUACAGCUGGCAGAAGCAGGAGACAAAACCAUAAAAGACAAGAACAAGCCAUAACUUGAAUGGAUGCAUUAGAAACUGGAAGUUAUGAGGAAGAAAUUCCAAUAUUGUUUUAGCUAUUUUGAGGAUCAGCCAGGAGUUUGAUGGCGGGCAUGCUGGGUAGUUUACUCUUGUUAAAUAUAGCUAAUCCCUUCUAACAGAUUAUCUGUAAAAGCAUUUUUUUUCUCUUUAAUCUUCUGUGAUACACUUAAAAAUAUUAUUUUGAUUGGCCUUUAAUCUCAUGAGUGCCUUUUCCUCAACUACUGAGCGUAUAAUUUAUAUAACCCUGUAACACAGUAUACUGCAGGUAGGCGUUUUAUGGCAUGUUUUAUUUAUAUUUUAUUGUUGAUGUGUGCCAGAAUGGUGUUUCUGUUGCUUCCAGUUUUGCUCAUCAGAGCAGACAAAACAAUGGGGCAAAGUAUCUUGAAAUAACUAUAGGUUAAAUCACAAAGGGGAUUUAAGCAAUGUCUAAAGUCUUUGAAGCCUGCACCUGGUAUAAUCUAUUCAUAACAAGUUCAGAGACUAAAUAAUAUAGGAAGAAGUAUGCUCCAAAAAACAAUUAAUGAAAUACAGUCUGUUAGUGCAAGAAAACCUAAUUUUCCUUUGAAGACUUACACCUUUCACCUCCAAUAAGUCUAUCGAAGUCAAGUAAGAAUUUCGAUGCCACCCCCCAAUCUACUGAAGUCACAGUGAAAAGAUUUUAGUGUUCAUUAUAUAGCCAAAUUAUUACUAGAUGUUCAGUUCACAAUAAAUCUACUUAGGGUGCUUUGUUCUGAUGAACUCAUUUAAAUGUAUUAUAUUAAAAAAUUACAUUUUCAGAAGCUUCUCUAGACAUUUCUUAAUCGGUUGUCAUGGUGAUGUCACUGAUUACAGUUUUUAAUGUCCCAUUUGAAGAUUAUGCACUACUUAAUGAUCCAAAAAGUAGGUCUAAUUUCUUUAAAGAAUAAAAAAUCUUUUCAUGGAGUGAAUUACAGAGGUUAGUCAUAGUAAAAAAAAAAAAAUAAUGAAAAAUACAAAUGAUACAAUGUAAAGGAAGAUUUCCUUACGAUGUACUACACAAAGUACCUUUUUAAUAAAUAUAGCAAUAGAAAAAAAGAGAUGCAAUCACUAAAAAUGUGGAUUUGGGUAACAGUAAAGAAUACCUGAAAUAUCCUUGUGCAAGGAUUGUCUUCAUUUCUCCUUAAAAUUACAAAAUGGUAAUGGUCUGGAGAGCACGUGAAAUUACUUUAUAUUUAAAAAGAAUUUGUUGUGGCAUAUUUCUCAGUUCCUGGCUGGACUGUCACUUUGAUUUAGGUAGCUUUGCAAGCUGCAGGAGAGAUCUAGGUGGAAAUUCAGUUUCAGCUUCACCUGAGCGUGCUCCACAUUUGGGGAAAAAAAUUCUCAUUACCUUUCCAUCCUUAAAGGAUAAAAUGUCACUAGUCAUUGCUCUAAAAAGUUUAAAAGCAUUCCUUUUAUCAACAAUAUUAUAAAUUUCAAUAAAUAUUUUUGUAUAUCUUUUAAAUCUUUUUAGGUGUUGUAGACUGCAAAAUUGCUUCUAUGCAUGUUCUUACUGUCCAUCCAGACAGUCAGAACAAGAUACAUAAACUUCCUGUUACAAUGCUAGUUGCUGUUUUCUCUGAUAAAGGAGAACAUAGUUUUCUAUUUAAAAAACAAUUUUAAUUUAGGUCCAUUUCCAAAACAUUGAGAAAAUUGUGUGGAACCCCUUACUAUUCAUGAACACCCACAGUGUUGAAUGUAUUCUUUGCUGCGUCCACAAGACAUGCCUCAAGCUCGUUUACUUAAGAUAAGUUGAAGAUAAAUUUGUUAAUAGGGAAUACAGGGCAAUUUUAAUUUCAUACUUUUUUCUUUUGAGAGGAUGGUCUUUACAGUUUGCAAAAUGUUUCCUAUAUUAUUUUUUUUCAGAUGUUGCAUUUAAAUUCACAGCUUGAGCUAACAGUUUCUUUUUUAGAAAGAUGUUUGCAGGUCAGGCCUAAUCUCUUGUUACAAAAUCAGUACUCAACUGCAUUGUAGCAGGUUGGAACUCAGCUCUCUCAUCAUACUUGUAUAAUAAAAAUCGUGUUGUUACCUCAUCCAAGCUCCAUGACUUGCAUGUUUGGCAACAUGUUUUGUGUCUAGUGUUUAAAGCUAACCAGGUCUCCAAACAAAUAACUGUCCUGAUAACCUCCAAAAGUUUUAUUAAUGUUUAUCCAUGAUGAGUGCAAGUACUAUGUAAAAUAAAUAAAGAAUAACACCAUAACUGUCUUUUGAGAGAUAUUAGAAGGUAGUCAGAAGAGAAAAACCUAUGAAAGUUGCAUGAGCUGUGUAUUAUUAUGCAUAUGCUACAACAGCCAGAACAUUAAAUAUCUGUAGCUCUAUUGCAGCCACAAAUACUAUGUUUGGCAUGUAAUAAGUCUGGACUGUAGAAAGAAAGUGUUUUUAUUCAGUUAGAGGUUUAAAGAUAAAACCCUUCAGAGCUGAACCUAAUUGUCCUUUGAGGUAUGUGUUAAGGUCAAAGCUGUACUUGAUGGUAAUUAUAGUUACCUUCCCAUGAAAUCUUUGCAAUUGUACUAAAACAGUAUAAAAACUCCUGAGCUUUUACUGUUUUUACUGCAGACAGAAAUAGUGUUCCUUCUUUCUUUACAGUACAUAGUGCUAAUUUAAAAGAUCAUUGUAUUUUAUUCUUUUGGUGGUUAUUACUGCAGUUGAACCGAUAUCAGUAAAAUAAACUUCACAAAAAAAAAAAAAAGGUUAAAAGGAAAUACUAAGAAAUAAU